AAGAUUAGCAUGGCCCCUGCGCAAGGAUGACACGCAAAUGCAUGAAGCGUUCCACAUU
rnacentral:snRNA from 1 species